UACGUAGGGUGCAAGCGUUAAUCGGAAUUACUGGGCGUAAAGCGUGCGCAGGCGGUUUUAAGACUGUCGUGAAAUCCCCGGGCUCAACCUGGGAAUGGCGAUGGUGACUGCAAGGCUAGAGUUUGGCAGAGGGGGGUAGAAUUCCACGUGUAGCAGUGAAAUGCGUAGAUAUGUGGAGGAACACCGAUGGCGAAGGCAGCCCCCUGGGUCAAAACUGACGCUCAUGCACGAAAGCGUGGGGAGCAAACAGG
rnacentral:rRNA from 1 species